UACAGAGGGUGCAAGCGUUGUUCGGAAUCAUUGGGCGUAAAGGGCGUGUAGGCGGUCUGUUAAGUCAUGUGUGAAAUCCCUCGGCUCAACCGGGGAACGACGCAUGAAACUGACAAGCUAGAGUACCAAAGAGGGGGGUGGAAUUCCCGGUGUAGCGGUGAAAUUCGUAGAUAUUCGGAAGAACACCAGUGGCGAAGGCGACUCACUGGACAUGUAUUGACGCUGAGGUGCGAAAGCGUGGGGAGCAAACAGG
rnacentral:rRNA from 1 species